ACAACUUUCAACAACGGAUCUCUUGGCUCUCGCAUCGAUGAAGAACGCAGCGAAAUGCGAUAAGUAAUGUGAAUUGCAGAAUCCAGUGAAUCAUCGAAUCUUCGAACGCAUCUUGCGCUCCUCAGUACUCUGAGGAGCAUGCCUGUUUGAGUGUCAUUAAA
rnacentral:rRNA from 1 species